GGAUUCGGAAAUGGACCGGGAAGGAGAGCGCAAAAAAUACAAAACUUCAUGUUGUGCUCGCGUGACGUAUGCAGAAUUGCAGAUGGAUGAGGAUGGGUGUGUUGCUCGGCAUUUCCCAUCAAGUGAACGUGAAUGUUUUGAGUUGAAGUUGGAAAUUUCAGCUCUUUUUUUUUUCUUCCGAGCAGGUGUUUUCAAAAUGACUGCUACGGAGGUCAUUGCUGUUUUGUGACUUAUCCUGUCAUCUCUAGCUUUUGAGCAGUUACGUUUAAAUUCCUGGCAAACAUGUGCACCUGUUUAGAACCGGAAUGUUUUACUUUUAUAGUUGUUGAUUUGAACUACGUAUGACUUUUGUGUUUCCAAUAGGUGGUGCAUGGGAUUAACACUUGGUGGGGUUUUUUGGCAAUUCAAGUUGAUAUAUUCCAUGUGAAACCUAAAGGAUGAAUGUUGCAAUUUCA
rnacentral:lncRNA from 1 species